ACAACUACAGGUUUAAGAGGGGCCACGUCCAGGUCAUCCAAUAUGGCCGCCAGCGCUCUGGGAGAGGCAGGAAGAGGUGGGACUUGCUCAGGCUGUGUUACUUCCACCUCCGGUUUCCUCACAGAUUCACAUUCAGCUAGAGAGGAAGAGGAAGAUACUAACUCACUGAAGAGGAAGAUACUAACUCACUGAAGAGGAAGAUACUAACUCACUGAAGAGGUAGAGAGGAAGAGGAAGAUACUAACUCACUGAAGAGAGGAAGAGGAAGAUACUAACUCACUGAAGAGGAAGAUACUAACUCACUGAAGAGGUAGAGAGGAAGAGGAAGAUACUAACUCACUGAAGAGGAAGAGAGGAAGAGGAAGAUACUAACUCACUGAAGAGGAAGAGAGGAAGAGGAAGAUACUAACUCACUGAAGAGGAAGAGAGGAAGAGGAAGAUGCUAACUCACUGAAGAGGAAGAUACUAACUCACUGAAGAGGAAGAGAGGAAGAGGAAGAUACUAACUCACUGAAGAGGAAGAGAGGAAGAGGAAGAUACUAACUCACUGAAGAGGAAGAUACUAACUCACUGAAGAGGAAGAGAGAAAGAGGAAGAUACUAACUCACUGAAAGCCUGACUCGCUCUCCAGACUCAGAGACUAGAGGAAGAGGAAGACACACAAAAAAUGACAUUCAGUGACUCAUGGACAGUAUAGAGGUUGAUAGUUAUAAAGACAUUCAGUGACUCAUGGAC
ensembl:lncRNA